rnacentral:rRNA from 1 species
AACCUAGGGAGGGAAUUACCCUCGGAAAACUAGAAACCCUGCCCAAAAAACCUUUAUGCCGGGAAUGUUUUAUGUUCAAAAUGAUUUACCGCCGAAGGAGGGGACGGCGGCCAAUCAUUUGGUGGGGGAGGAAAGGCCCCACAAAAAUUAUAACAGGGACGGCUUCUAAAAGAAGUACCCCGAAGAUGGUUACUGAAACACGCACCCCGGCCCUAGGGGGCCCAGCAGGAAAAAAAUUUUUGCAUGGUGCAAAAGCACAACAAGGUUAAUCCGAGUGUUUCCUGCUAAAGGAACUUUUUGUCGUUCCAAAAAACAUUAAUAAUUAAGGGGGGGGCAAUUUUUGUUGCCACCCGCCGCAAAAAAACCACCACCUCAGGUGGCCAGGAUAAUUAUGGGGCCUAA